UACAGUCUUUAAGUACAUGCUUAGACAGAAAAGGUUUUUCUGGUUUUCUACUUUUAAAAUUUUCACUAAAAGUUAGGGGGCCAAAAAAAUGGUCGGAAAAGUAAAAUGGUUUAAUGCAGAAAAAGGUUUUGGUUUUAUCGAGCGUGAAGAUGGUGACGAUGUAUUCGUACACUUCUCUGCUAUUCAAGGUGAAGGAUUCAAAACUCUUGAAGAAGGUCAAGAAGUUGAAUUCGAAAUCGUUGAUGGAAAUCGCGGACCACAAGCUGCUAAUGUAGAGCGUAUCUAAUUAAAUUUAAAACCAUCGGGUACAAUCCUUUUCGGAUUGUACCCUUUU
rnacentral:other from 1 species